CCUACGGGAGGCAGCAGUGGGGAAUAUUGCGCAAUGGGCGAAAGCCUGACGCAGCGACGCCGCGUGAGGGAUGAAGGUCUUCGGAUCGUAAACCUCUGUCAGCAGGGAAGAACGGUCACUGUGCUAAUCAGCAGUGAAUUGACGGUACCUGCAAAGGAAGCACCGGCUAACUCCGUGCCAGCAGCCGCGGUAAUACGGAGGGUGCGAGCGUUAAUCGGAUUUACUGGGCGUAAAGCGCUCGUAGGCGGUAUGUCAAGUCAAGGGUGAAAUCCCCGCGCUCAACGUGGGAACUGCCUUUGAAACUGGCAAACUGGAGUGUGUGAGAGGAUAGUGGAAUUCCAGGUGUAGGAGUGAAAUGCGUAGAUAUCUGGAGGAACAUCAGUGGCGAAGGCGACUAUCUGGCACAUAACUGACGCUGAGGAGCGAAAGCGUGGGUAGCAAACAGGAUUAGAUACCCCAGUAGUC
rnacentral:rRNA from 1 species